rnacentral:lncRNA from 1 species
GUUUAUUGGACAUAGCAAGAUAGAUGGACAGUCAUCAAGGGAAUCACUCAAUCUAUACAAUUAAAAGAAAUCAAGGAGGCUAAGUGCAGGUGUCCCUCUAAAGAGUCACAGUCCCUUAUCAGUGUCUGGACAUGAGCCACUUCUCAGACUGGAUGCCACUGACUGAGGGAGAGGCCAGAUCUCCAGGAGGAAGGACCUGCAAAAUCAUGGCAAAUAUAUAUGACAAUGACUCCUACAGAUUUUCCCCAAAGGGACCUAUGGCCAUUUAUUCAGUGGACAAGCGCAACCAAGCCUAAAGGCAAGUGCUGUUGCGAGGUCGACAUCCAGGAACCAGAGGAGGGCAGAGCAAUCCACAGAAUGGAUCUGGGGUGACUCAUGGAGGAAAACCAACACACAGUACCAUUUAAUUCUUUUUAAAAAGAUGGAAAAUUAUACCAUACCCAGAAUUACUAAAUUCUAAAUAGAGGGUAUAUUGCAUUUACAUUUGUA